CCACCAGGGUAAAACAAAGCUAUUCACUGCUUCCUAACUUUCUUGGGUGUCAUUCCUUUCCCAGACUCAGCUUUGCCACAACAUUCUUGGUUCUUGGACUAGGAAGGCUGUGCUUCCACUUAGCCCACUGGGGCCUGGCAGCUGGAGCAGAGACAUCUCCAGGAUACUCAGUGGGAAGGCACACCCUCCAGAUUUUCUUGGAGUCCCUUCAUUGGCUUGGACUGGAGGCCUAUACUCAGUGCUAAAGGACCCCCUCAGACCCAAAAGAGGGGGAAAGGACACACUCAGGUCAGGUCAUUAGAUAAGCCUUCUUCUUCUCCUGACCUGGAAGCUUCACCAGUAACAUCUAAUGUGCCUUCUGAAGCUAGAACUGACUCUCCAUCAUGUGGCAGCCACACUGAUCCCAUGGAGCUGGGUUGCAGCUGUAUCAGCCAUCACCUCCACUCUGCAGGAGGCACCAGAAGGCUAAAGGGUCUGCGCUUGAAUCUGGGAGAUGACAUCCAAGGCGAAGGUGAAGACAGGACUCCUCUAAAGAAACAGUACCAAAGGUGCUGUGGAUACUCCAGAAGUCUGGAAAAGCCAGAAGAGGCUUGUUUGCUUCCUUUUGUUCUAGCUGCUUUUGCUCUGGCUGCUGCCUGGAAGUGUUGCCCCCGUGCCACACCACCCCUCCGUGCAGCCAGCUGAUUAUGGGCUGAAACCUCCACAAACAGUGAGCUAAAUAAAUCUUUCCUUUCUUCA